UAAAGCCAGCGUUCAGUUCGUUUAGGAAUUGCGCGAUUUCUAUCGGCCGAUUGUAAUCGCCACCUGUGACGGAAUUUACUGCGAAACGGCUCUGAAAAGGAAACACCGUUGGCGCGGACCGUCAGUGAGAAAUUGUCAGAUGAGGAAAUGAGAAGAGAAGCAGAUACGUUCAGCGAAAAAAACGAUAGAUGAGCAGUCACUGAUUAUUGGUUUAUACUAUUAGAUCCCUAAAUUUAAACCAAUUAUCUUGACGAAUUACUCAAGAAUUGUGCAACCGUUGUGUUCGCUGAAUGCAACCAAUGACGUUACGCUGUUGUUUGUUUACACAGUUCAUAGGGAUUUAGAAGAAUUUAGAGGGAUUUAUCAAUAACAAAUAAAUGUAAAAAUAUAUGUAUCAAAUAAAUAAAUACGCAAAAAU